AGACAGACAGACAGACUCUCCUCCUCCUCAUCUCUCUCCCCUAAAACCCGCAAAAACCCAACUCGCAAAUUUUCAAAAUCUUUCAUUCUCUAACCAAAUUCAAGCUCCGCAAAAUUUACAAACCUCAAAGUCAAAAUACCCACAAACCAAACCAUCCUUUUCAACUCCAUGCCCAAAUGCCCACCUUUCAUCAUCAACUCCAUCUUCAAGGCCCUCAACAACUACUUGUAUCCAAUCCCAAGUAAGUUCCUUUCUCUUUCUAUGAACUCUAACUUUUCAGCCCUUGCAAUUCCAUCAACCAAAACUAUUGAAACUGAACCCCAAAACCACCCUCAACACCGUAACGCCUCUGACCGAGAAAAUGGCAUUGAACAUGACCCCCCGAUAUCUGAUAAGAUAUUCAAGUCUGGCCCCAAAAUGGGUUCGUACAAGUUGGGUGAUUCGACUUUUUAUUCAGUCAUUAACAACUACGCAAAUUUGGGUGAUUUUAAGUCAUUGGAGAAGGUUUUGGAUCGAAUGAGGUGCGAAAAGAGAGUGGUUGUAGAGAAAUGUUUUGUUGUUAUCUUUAAGGCUUUUGGGAAAGCUCAUUUACCUGAAAAAGCUGUCGACUUGUUUGAUAGAAUGGCUUAUGAAUUUGAGUGUAAAAGAACUGUAAAGUCGUUUAAUUCGGUUCUUAAUGUGAUUAUACAAGAGGGUUUGUUUUAUCGUGCUUUAGAGUUUUAUAAUCAUGUUAUUGGUGCCAAAGGUGUGAAUAUAUCCCCUAAUGUGCUUACUUUUAAUUUGGUUAUUAAGGCUAUGUGUAAGGUGGGAUUGGUUGAUGAUGCGGUCCAAAUGUUUAGAGACAUGCCGGUUAGUAAAUGUCAGCCUGAUGUGUACACUUAUUGUACUUUGAUGGAUGGACUUUGCAAGGCGGAUAGGAUUGAUGAGGCAGUUUCGCUGUUGGAUGAGAUGCAAAUUGAUGGUUGUUUUCCAAGCCCUGUUACCUUCAAUGUGUUAAUCAAUGGCUUGUGUAAGAAGGGGGAUUUAGCACGGGUUGCGAAGCUUGUAGACAAUAUGUUUCUUAAAGGAUGUGUUCCUAAUGAAGUAACUUAUAACACACUUAUUCAUGGUUUGUGUCUGAAAGGGAAGCUGGAAAAGGCAAUUAGUCUUUUGGAUCGGAUGGUAUCGAGUAAAUGUGUGCCUAAUGUGGUCACACAUGGGACAAUCAUUAAUGGACUUGUUAAGCAGGGAAGAGCUCUUGAUGGGGCUCGUGUAUUAGCUUUGAUGGAGGAAAGGGGGUAUCAUGUAAAUGAGUAUGUUUACUCAGCGCUGAUUAGUGGGUUGUUCAAGGAGGGGAAAUCUCAAGAGGCGAUGCAAUUGUUCAAAGAGAUGACAGUCAAAGAAUGUGAGCUCAACACUAUUGUAUAUAGUGCUGUUAUUGAUGGUUUAUGCCGAGAUGGAAAGCCAGAUGAAGCACUGGAAAUUCUUUCUGAGAUGACUAAUAACAUAUGCAAACCUAAUGCUUACACUUAUAGCUCGCUGAUGAAGGGAUUCUUUGAGGCAGGUAAUGGCCAUAAAGCCAUUGAAGUGUGGAAAGACAUGGCAAAGCAUAAUUUAACUCAGAACGAGGUUUGUUACAGUGUACUCAUUCAUGGGUUAUGCAAGGAUGGGAAAGUCAAGGAAGCUAUGAUGGUGUGGGCACAGAUGCUGGGCAAAGGAUGUAAGCCUGAUGUUGUGGCUUACGGUUCAAUGAUUAAUGGCCUUUCCAAUGCUGGCUUAGUAGAAGAUGCUUUGCAACUUUAUAACGAGAUGCUUUGUCAGGAACCUGAUUCUCAACCAGAUGUGGUCACAUAUAACAUACUUUUGAAUGCUUUGUGCAAGCAGAGUAGCAUCUCCCGUGCUAUUGAUCUUUUAAAUAGCAUGUUGGAUCGGGGAUGUGAUCCUGACUUGGUUACAUGCAUCAUAUUCUUGAGAACAUUGAGAGAGAAGCUGGACCCACCUCAAGAUGGGAGGGAGUUUCUAGAUGGGCUUGUGGUUCGUCUUCUAAAGCGGCAGAGAGUUUUAGGUGCUUCAAAAAUUGUAGAAGUGAUGCUGCAAAAGCUUCUGCCACCUAAACCCUCUACUUGGGAAAGAGUUGUUGAAGAUCUUUGUAAACAUAAGAAGGUUCAGGCAGCCAUUCAGAAGUGUUGGAGCAUCCUAUAUUGCUGAUGUAUUGGGGUUCUUCGUGACAUUGUUGUGAAGCUUAUAUGAUCAUAUGUCACGUAAGCCUCUAGCUUAUAGAGCAUAGACUUAUGUCACAAUUAAUAUGGAUUGUGUGACCAGGGAAGAUGUGGUGAACGACGAAUCUUGAAACAAACUGUUGGAGAAGUCCAGUACAUUGUGUUUGAGCUAGGGAACACCGCUGGAAGUUCCAAAAAACAGUACCUCGAAUAGAGGCCAAAACACAUCUUAUCCUAUUUUUGUUUCCCUCCAAAGAGAAAAAAUCCAUAAAAAUUCCAGAGCAGCACUCCAACCACAUCUGCUAAAGAACUUCAAACAGAACAUAUCUCUGCAAGGGCUUAUGGUCGUUCUACUUUUCAAAACCUGGAAAAGACAUUACCAAUAGAUCCUAUACUUGAUUAGAGAUCACCAACAACUCCAAAUAACUGAGGAAAGAUGUGCUACGUAUCCCAAGCAUCUGGAUAGUGCAAAAAGAAUUGCUCUGCGCCUGUCCAUUAUCAUUGCACAUCACACAUGUAUUAGGAGAAAUCUUGUUAUAUAGCCUCCUUCAUGCAGAUGUUGUUGGUAUUAGUUCCAUGGUCUGCAUCGCCCAAAUGAAGGCCAAGAUUCCGAUAAUUAUUUUUUUUCAGACACAAGUGGCCAAAGAAAAACAAUGGCAGGCCGAGCACAAGUGAUGUAAAAAAAAAAAAAAUUACCA